AUUGAACGCUGGCGGAAUGCUUUACACAUGUAAGUCGAACGGCAGCACGGACUUCGGUCUGGUGGCGAGUGGCGAACGGGUGAGUAAUGUAUCGGAACGUGCCCAGUCGUGGGGGAUAACGUAGUGAAAAUUACGCUAAUACCGCAUACGAUCUAUGGAUGAAAGCGGGGGACCGCAAGACGUCGCGCGAUUGGAGCGGCCGAUAUCAGAUUAGGUAGUUGGGGGGGUAAAGGCCUACCAAGCCAACGAUCUGUAGCUGGUCUGAGAGGACGACCAGCCACACUGGGACUGAGACACGGUCCAGACUCCUACGGGAGGCAGCAGGGGGGAAUUUUGGACAAUGGGCGAAAGCCUGAUCCAGCCAUUCCGCGUGCAGGAUGAAGGCCCUCGGGUUGUAAACUGCUUUUGUACAGAACGAAAAGGUUUCUACUAAUACUAGGAGCUCAUGACGGUACUGUAAGAAUAAGCACCGGCUAACUACGUGCCAGCAGCCGCAGUAA
rnacentral:rRNA from 1 species